rnacentral:misc_RNA from 1 species
AAGUCGUAACAAGGUAACCGUAGGUGAACCUGCGGUUGGAUCAUUAAAAAUACGGUGGGACAGCUCACUUAAACAUGAAAGCCGGCAAAUGAAAGUGGUAAUGUUUAUUAAUACUUUCUCCCUUAUUGAAAGAGCCACUGGACUUUGCCGGGGUGAGCUUGAGCCAAUCUCCGAACCCACAUUAUGUGAACCGAACCGUCUCUGGCGGGGGGGUAGUAAGUAAAAUCUACUACUUGCCAGCAAGUGCGUUUGCAUUUGCCGUGGGCAUCCCGUCAACAGGCCUUACACCUUUGUUUUCUUUUGAUGUCUGACAUAACAUGUAUAAAUAUACAAAACAACUUUUGGCAACGGAUCUCUUGGCUCUC